AAAUUUCUGUCUCAUACUUAAGCUUGAUGUUUGGGUUGAAAAAAAACAUGUGCUUGUGUCAGAUGCAAGCUGAACAAACCACUUUUUUCAAGGAACACCAAUUUGUACUUGAAAGAAUGACUAACAUACAAACUCUGGCUAUUCAGACUUGAAUCUUUUGCAGAUAUUUUCUUUAGAAUGAGUGAAAUGAGCUGUCAUUUAAAGGAAAAUAGUUGACAGUACUUGUUGCCAAUGGUAAAAUUAAGCUUUCAAGUAAAAAUUAAAAUUUUGGAAAAAUUAUAUCCACCACAUGAGUUUGACAGCUUUAUAAUAUUUUAAAAGUUUGAGACAGGUGUAAUGAGACUGGUGGUGAUAUUAAUUAAUGUGACUAUUUCGUAUUGAAAAAAUAUGUUUCAAUCUGGAAGAUUUCCAUAUUCAGUGAACCACUGUUUUUUUAAAAUACAUGAUCAUACAAAAUUAUGCAUUGAGUUCCCGUCAUGGCUCAGUGGUUAAUGAAUCCAACUAGGAACCACGAGGUUGCAGGUUCCAUCCCUGGCCUUGCGCAGUGGGUUAAGGAUCCGGCGUUGCCGAGAGCUGUGGUGUAGGUUGCAGAUAGGGCUCGGAUCCUGCCUUGCUGUGGCUGUGGCAUGGGCUGGCAGUUACAGCUCCAAUUAGACCCCUAGCCUGGGAACCCCCACAUGCCGCAGAAGCAGCCCUAGAAAUGGCAAAAAGACAAAACAAAACAAAACAAAACAAAACUACUGAUGUUCAGUUUGGAUAUAUUUUCAAAGUAAAAUAUCUUCAUUUACCAAAAAAAAAUACUAUUUUCCUUCUAUGCAUCUGCAUGAAGCUGGAUUUUCUUCGUGUAUAUCAACAUAUCUCAUUAACAUUCUGAAUUCAGAAACAGAAACAAGAAUUGUCUUCUAUAAAGCCAGACAUUAAUGCAAUCUGCAAAAAUGUAAAACAGUACUACUCUUUUCAAUAAAUUUUUGUUUUAGAAUAUAUAUCCACUUUCCAACAAAACUAUGUUAUUGAUGUUGGCAUGUAUUACAAAUUUUUUGUUUUUAAAUUAUCAGUCUUAAUUUUAAAUGUGGUAAAUAUUGUUGUGUGUAGCCCCGUAAACAAUGGUCUUUGGUCUACUCAGUAACUUUAGUAGUGUAAAGAGGAAUUGAGACCAAAAAUUUUGAGAACCAGGGUUUUAGACAUAUGGGAAUGCAGAACCAAAGAUACAUAGUCUCCACCUUUAUGGUUCAAUAGAGGAAGUAGAACAAGCAAUACGGCUACUAUAUUUCAUGUGAUAUUGAAAGAGCAGUUUGUAAAGAGACCAUGAGAAGAGCAAGGCAGGACUUCUGACUCGCAGGUGGGACAGGAAAGGCUUCUUAAAAGAAGCAUCACUGAUGAGUUCCCGUCGUAGCGCAGCAGAAAUGAAUCCGAUUAGGAACCAUGAGAUUGUGUCUUCUAUCCCUGCCCUCACUCAGUGGGUUAAGGAUCCAGCAUUGCCAUGAGCUAUGGCGUUGGUCGCAGACGUGGCUCGGAUCCCACGUUGCUAUGGCUGUGGUAUAGGCCAGCAGCUACAGCUCCAAUUAGACCCCUAGCCUGGGAACCUCCAUA
rnacentral:lncRNA from 1 species